rnacentral:rRNA from 1 species
GACGAACGCUGGCGGCGUGCUUUACACAUGCAAGUCGAACGGUGAAGGUGGAGCUUGCUCCGCCGGAUCAGUGGCGAACGGGUGAGUAACACGUGGGCAACCUGCCCCUAACUUUGGGAUAACUACUCGAAAGAGUAGCUAAUACCGGAUAUGAAGUCUGUAGGCAUCGAUGGAUUUGGAAAGUUUUUCGGUUAGGGAUGGGCCCGCGGCCUAUCAGCUUGUUGGUGAGGUAGUGGCUCACCAAGGCGACGACGGGUAGCCGGCCUGAGAGGGCGACCGGCCACACUGGGACUGAGACACGGCCCAGACUCCUACGGGAGGCAGCAGUGGGGAAUAUUGCGCAAUGGGCGAAAACCUGACGCAGCAACGCCGCGUGCGGGAUGAAGGCCUUCGGGUUGUAAACCGCUUUCAGCAGGGAAGAAGCGAAAGUGACGGUACCUGCAGAAGAAGCACCGGCUAACUACGUGCCAGCAGCCGCGGUAA